UACAGAGGUCUCAAGCGUUGUUCGGAUUCAUUGGGCGUAAAGGGUGUGUAGGUGGCGCCGUAAGUCGGGUGUGAAAUCUCGGGGCUUAACUCCGAAACUGCAUUCGAUACUGCGGUGCUUGAGGACUGGAGAGGAGACUGGAAUUCAUGGUGUAGCAGUGAAAUGCGUAGAGAUCAUGAGGAAGACCAGUGGCGAAGGCGGGUCUCUGGACAGUUCCUGACACUGAGACACGAAGGCCAGGGGAGCAAACGG
rnacentral:rRNA from 1 species